rnacentral:rRNA from 1 species
AUUGAACGCUGGCGGCAGGCUUAACACAUGCAAGUCGAGCGAGCGGCGGACGGGUGAGUAAUGUCUGGGAAACUGCCUGUUGGAGGGGGAUAACUACUGGAAACGGUAGCUCAUACCGCAUACCAUCAGAUGUGCCCAGAUGGGAUUAGCUAGUAGGUGGGGUAAUGGCUCACCUAGGCGACGAUCCCUAGCUGGUCUGAUAGGAUGAACAGCAACACUGGAACUGAGACACGGUCCAGACUCCAACGGGAGGCAGCAGUGGGGAAUAUUGCACAAGGGGCGAAAUCCGGAUGAAGCCAUGCCGCGGGGAGGAAGAAGGCCUUCGGGUGGUAAAGUACUUUCAGCGAGGAGGCGGUACUCGCAGAAGAAGCACCGGCUAACUCCGUGCCAGCAGCCGCGGUAAUAC